ACGCCGCGUGAGUGAAGAAGGUCUUCGGAUUGUUAAGCUCUGUUCGUUUGGGACAAACGUGGGAUGUGUGAAUAAUGCAUUCUAAUGACGGUACCAAAGGAGGAAGCCACGGCUAACUACGUGCCAGCAGCCGCGGUAAUA
rnacentral:rRNA from 1 species